rnacentral:rRNA from 1 species
UACGUAGGGCGCAAGCGUUGUCCGGAAUUAUUGGGCGUAAAGAGCUCGUAGGCGGUUUGUCGCGUCUGCUGUGAAAACCUAAGGCUCAACCUUGGGCUUGCAGUGGGUACGGGCAGACUAGAGUGCGGUAGGGGUGACUGGAAUUCCUGGUGUAGCGGUGGAAUGCGCAGAUAUCAGGAGGAACACCGAUGGCGAAGGCAGGUCACUGGGCCGCAACUGACGCUGAGGAGCGAAAGCACGGGGAGCGAACAGG